UUUCUUGUUGGGUUGGAAUAGAUUUCCAGUACCAAGUGGAAGAGUAGCAGUGAUAUUGAAAUUAGGCAGGAAAAUUCAGGCAUCAGGUGACUUCUUUACAUUUUUAUUCCUGUUUUUUCUUUUUGGAAGAUAUCUUGGCAGAUUAUAGGGAGAGGUGUCACUUACCCACUGCUGAAAUGCACUGGGCUGGAACACGCCAGCCAUUCUUCAUCAACAACACCAAACAGUUAUUUUGGGCAAAGAAUUACAAGAGCAGUUUUUUUGUUGUUGUUGAAUCUACAGUGGGAAGCUGGGGUGAUUGAAUGUGUGCCUCAAGUCCUUUGGCCCCAACACCCCUCUCUCCUUAUUUGCUAUGAUAAGCAUUCUCUUGAGGGCUAUUCAUUACAGUGGAAAUAUGAUCAGAGAAUCAUCUGGGUUGGAAAAGACUUCCUGAGGUCACCUGGCCCCAUCUGGCAACAUUAAUAUGGGAUUCCAGCAUCAAGUUUCCCAGAACAAGAUUGUCUGUUAACAAUUCACAUAGCUCACAUAAACCCCUGGUGGAGUCUUAACCUGUUUUCUCUUUUGUCCUUCAGUGAAAUAGAUGAUUAAAUUGCAUGUCUUUCUGCUGUAGGAGUGUUACACAACU
rnacentral:lncRNA from 1 species